rnacentral:rRNA from 1 species
CCAAUAGCGUAUAUUAAAGUUGUUGCAGUUAAAAAGCUCGUAGUUGAAUUUUAGGCCUGGCCGGACGGUCCGUCUCUGGCGAGUACUGUUCUGUCGUCGGGUCUAUCCUUCUGGUGAGCCGGUAUGUUCUUAAUUGGGCGUGUCGGGGAACCAGGACCAUUACCUUGAAAAAAUUAGAGUGUUUAAAGCAGGCUUUUGCUUGAAUAGAUUAGCAUGGAAUAAUAGAAUAGGACGUUGUGGUUCUAUUUUGUUGGUUCUAGGACCACCGUAAUGAUUAAUAGGGAUAGUUGGGGGCAUUAGUAUUCAAUUGUCAGAGGUGAAAUUCUUGGAUUUAUUGAAGACUAACUACUGCGAAAGCAUUUGCCAAGGAUGUUUUCAUUAAUCAAGAACGAAAGUUAGGGGAUCGAAGACGAUCAGAUACCGUCGUAGUCUUAACCAUAAACUAUGCCGACUAGGAAUCGGGCGACGUUAUUUUCACGACUCGCUCGGCGCCUUAU